GCUGGCGUAGCUCAGCUCGGUAGAGCAGCUGAUUUGUAAUCAGCAGGUCGGGGGUUCAAAUCCCUUCGCCAGCUCCA
rnacentral:tRNA from 2 species